AGGCAGCAGGCGCGUAAAUUACCCACUCCCAGCUCGGGGAGGUAGUGACGAAAAAUAACAAUACAGGACUCAUAAUAGAGGCCCUGUAAUUGGAAUGAGUACACUUUAAAUCCCUUAACAAGGACCUAUUGGAGGGCAAGUCUGGUGCCAGCAGCCGCGGUAACUCCAGCUCCAAUAGCGUAUAUUAAAGUUGUUGCGGUUAAAACGUUCGUAGUUGAACUUGUGCUUCAUACGGGUAGUAUAGCUAUAAUUGUAGUUUGUCCUAUACCUUAUGUAUGUAAGCGUAUUACCGGUGGAGUUCUUAUAUGCGUUAAAUACUUGUAUUUGCGUAUGUUCCUCCUAUUUAAACCUGCUUCAGU
rnacentral:rRNA from 1 species